CCAGACUCCUACGGGAGGCAGCAGUGGGGGAUAUUGCACAAUGGGGGGAACCCUGAUGCAGCGACGCCGCGUGAGUGAAGAAGUAUUUCGGUACGUAAAGCUCUAUCAGCAGGGAAGAAAAAAAGUCCUUUGGACUUUGGACGGUACCUGACUAAGAAGCCCCGGCUAACUACGUGCCAGCAGCCGCGGUAAUACGUAGGGGGCAAGCGUUAUCCGGAUUUACUGGGUGUAAAGGGGGCGCAGACGGCAGCGCAAGCCAGGAGUGAAAGCCCGGGGCCCAACCCCGGGACUGCUCUUGGAACUGCGCGGCUGGAGUGCAGGAGGGGCAGGCGGAAUUCCUGGUGUAGCGGUGAAAUGCGUAGAUAUUAGGAGGAACACCAGUGGCGAAGGCGGCCUGCUGGACGACAACUGACGGUGAGGCGCGAAAGCGUGGGGAGCAAACAGGAUUAGAUACCCGCGUA
rnacentral:rRNA from 1 species